AUUUGACCUCAAAUCAGGUAGGAGUACCCGCUGAACUUAAGCAUAUCAAUAAGCGGAGGAAAAGAAAAUAACAAUGAUUCCCCUAGUAACUGCGAGUGAAGAGGGACAAGCUCAAAUUUUAAAUCUGUUAGGUUUACCUAACCGAGUUGUAAUUUGAAGAGGCGUUUUCUGUGUUUUUGAUCAGCCCAAGUCCUUUGGGAUAGGGCAUCAUGGAGGGUGAGAAUCCCGUUCGGUUGAUCAGAUUCGCUUUACGAUACGUCAUCUAAGAGUCAAGUUGUUUGGGAUUGCAGCUUAAAAUGGGAAGGUAAAUUUCUCCUAAGGCUAAAUAACGGCGAGAGACCGAUAGCGAACAAGUACCGUGAGGGAAAGAUGAAAAGAACUUUGAAAAGAGAGUUAAACAGUACGUGAAAUUGUUGAAAGGGAAACGAUUGAAGCCAGUCGUACCUUCGGGUAAUCAGCCUUUCGGGUGCGAUUCUGUGGAGCGUGGGGAGUUAAACGCCUUCAUGCCUGCAUAUUCGUGCACUUUGGGUGUACUUGCCCGUGUGGUAGGUUAACAUCAAUUUCGGAUGUCAUAAAAUGGCUGGAGGAAUGUAGCUUCGGUCUCGUACUGAAGUGUUAUAGCCUUUGGUAGAUGUGAUGACCGGGAUUGAGGAUUGCAACGAAUACCUUUUGGGCUAUCCGUCUGAUCUCUGAAAGUUGCUCUGGUGCCGAAAGCUUGCUUACGGUUAUCAAAGUUGACGUUCAAAAGGUUAGAACGGGUUAAAUUCGUUAAGGAUGUUGACGUAAUGGCUUUAAACGACCCGUCUUGAAACACGGACCAAGGAGUCUAACAUAUAUGCGAGUGUUC
rnacentral:rRNA from 1 species